UGGUUUCUUCAUGUAUACAAAAAUCAUUCCAGUUAACCGAGACAACAUUCAAGACUUUGGAUUGGAUGGCACGAACACUAUGCUUCACCCUCCCUUUUUCAAUGCUUGCUUAUCCUUUUUACAUGUUGGCAGCAUCUGUUGAAGUUUUAAGGAAGGCGCAGUUGUGAUUGAAAAAUAGGGAAGCUUUGUGAAAUGUGAACGAGCCAUAUUGCAAUUUUAUGGGAAGAGGCGACCAUGGUGGUGGAGGUUUCUUCGUCGAUUAACUUCGUCUUUGUACCUGCUCUAGAUUCCAUUCGAUUUAGCGUUUUUUGUAGCUGGCGUUGGGUUAAUUAGGAUCGAUUGCCGAAUGUUUUUAUUAGGUGUUUUCGUGGCGUUAAAUACUGGUGCUUUUCUUUGCCGAAGGUUUGAGA
rnacentral:lncRNA from 1 species